rnacentral:rRNA from 1 species
AAGUAAAAAGUCGUAACAAGGUUUCCGUAGGUGAACCUGCGGAAGGAUCAUUAUUGAAAUAAACCUGAUGAGUUGCUGCUGGUUCUCUAGGGAGCAUGUGCACGCUUGUCAUCUUUAUAUCUCCACCUGUGAACCUUUUGUAGACCUGAAUAUCUCUCUGAAUGCCUGCAAAAAUUCAGGUUUGAGGAUUGAUUCAUUUCUUUCCUUGCAUUUUCAGGUCUAUGUUUUUCAUUAUACCCCCAUGUAUGUUUAUAGAAUGUAAUAAACGGGCCUUUGUGCCUAUAAACUUAUACAACUUUCAGCAACGGAUCUCUUGGCUCUCGCAUCGAUGAAGAACGCAGCGAAAUGCGAUAAGUAAUGUGAAUUGCAGAAUUCAGUGAAUCAUCGAAUCUUUGAACGCACCUUGCGCUCCUUGGUAUUCCGAGGAGCAUGCCUGUUUGAGUGUCAUUAAUAUAUCAAUCCUCUUCAGCCUGUUGAGUGUUGGAUGUGGGGGUUAUUUUUGCUGGACUCUCUUUUGAGGUCAGCUCCCCUAAAAUACAUUAGCAAAACAAUUUGUUUACUGCUCAUUGGUGUGAUAACUAUCUACGCUAUUGAUGGUAAAGCACAGUUUAGCUUCUAGCAGUCCA